AUUGAACGCUGGCGGCAGGCCUAACACAUGCAAGUCGAACGAGUGGCGGACGGGUGAGUAAUGUCUGGGAAACUGCCUGAUGGAGGGGGAUAACUACUGGAAAAGGUAGCUAAUACCGCAUACCAUCAGAUGUGCCCAGAGGGGAUGAGCUGGUUGGUGGGGUAACGGCUCACCAAGGCGACGAUCCCUGGCUGGUCUGAGAGGAUGAACGGCCAAACUGGAACUGUGACACGGUCCAGACUCUGACGGGAGGCAGCAGUGGGAAAUAUUGCACAAUGGGCGCAAGCCUGAUGCAGCCAUGCCGCGUGUAUGAAGAAGGCCUUCGGGUUGUAAAGUACUUUCAGCGGGGAGGCGUUACCCGCAGAAGAAGCACCGGCUAACUCCGUGCCAGCAGCCGCGGUAAUUC
rnacentral:rRNA from 1 species